UGGGCGACCAAUCAGCUGACACAAUUGAAGACAUAUUUUUCCAUGGUGUAAUUAUCUAAAUUACGUGAAUUAUUACAUAAAACUUAUUAAUACAACGUUUUAAGUGAUCAAACUGUUAUUAAAGUGAUUAUAUGACCAACAUCUGUUAUGGAUAUCAAGAAUUAUAUUGCGAUCUGUGACCUGCCUGCCUACCUCUAAACGAAACAUGGAAGAACCUAUACAAAGGAAAAAUCAAAAUAAAGACACACAAAAUAACUUAAAAAGAAAAUAAGCAAUAAUCAAAUCUAAAAUAGUUAAAGAGAUCUAGUCUCAAACGAAAAUAGUGAAAUUAAAAUAAAAAGAAUAUAAAAUAUUUAUUUUUGUUAUUAAAAGUUAUUGAAUAAAUUCCAUUUAACUGUAUUAUAUGAUAAUACAUUUUAUUUAAAGUGUAGUUACCAAA